UGAAAUGGAACCACAGCAGCAUUGCUCAGAUGGGCCAGAACCUGCAUUAAAUGAUUCUGCUGAGUUGCUGCCUCAACCAGAUGAUUCUCCACCACCGCCUCUUGAUUCUCCUCCUCCACCCCCGCCUUUGCCUACCUCUCCACCGCCACCACUACCUCUAUCACCUCCACCCUCAACAUCUCCAUCACCUCCACCUCCACCGCCGCUUCCACCUCCACCUCCACCUCUUCCGUCGCAACCACCACCUCUUCCGUCGCAACCACCACCUCCUCUUCCUCCUGUGCCAACUAUGGUACUGCAACCACCUGUACCAACUCAACCUUUGUUACCAGCCAAACCAAUACAACCAUCUCAUUCAUCC
rnacentral:lncRNA from 1 species